UUCAAAAAUUUGAACUUUUAUGUGUUGUAAGGAAAGUAGAGUAACGGUACAUUAUUAUGUACAUGAAGUGGUGUCACCCUACUGUUGCAAUUCAUCUGGGCGGUAAGAUCAAGGAGUAUGCUUCCCGAUACCUCCCAAGGGAAAUCUCUAAUUUGAAUUUCAAAUUGACGGAUUAAUGUGAGCUUAUCCAUGUGGUUAUGCACUCUUUGAAUAGGAAUCUGUUUGCUGAAAGAUCCUAUAAAGAAUAUGAUGAUUAUAUUGAUCUUCUGAAUGCAAAUUAUAUACUAGUAUUAAUUUUCCUUCUGUUGAAUGGGCUUCUUUGUAUACAAGUUAUAACUUCUUGUGUCUUAUUAUUAUAUUAAUCGUAUAAUCCAAUAGUUUCAAGAGAUUUUAAGUA